rnacentral:rRNA from 1 species
UACGUAGGGUGCGAGCGUUAAUCGGAAUUACUGGGCGUAAAGCGUGCGCAGGCGGUUUUGUAAGCCAGAUGUGAAAGCCCCGGGCUCAACCUGGGAAUGGCAUUGGAAACUGGCGGGCUUGAGUGUGGCAGAGGGGGGUGGAAUUCCGCGUGUAGCAGUGAAAUGCGUAGAGAUGCGGAGGAACACCGAUGGCGAAGGCAGCCCCCUGGGCUAACACUGACGCUCAGGCACGAAAGCGUGGGGAGCAAACAGG